UGGCUCCGGUCGCGCAGCCAGAACACAGCAGUAGCCGCGGAGUACGGCAACCAGCUUGCAUGUACCAACAGAGGAAUAGAGAGAGGGGGAACACGAAUGUACCACUAGGGAGAGGGGUAUAAGACUGCAUCCUUUGGAGAUGAGGGAUAGUCCAGGAGGUGCACGUAGAUCAGGGCUCUCGUAGCAGCCUGUUCCUGUGCCCCCAGGGCUGGAUUUAGGGGCAGGUGACCACCUGGGGUGCCACGUUUGGGGAGAGCGGGGGGUGCCAGGCUCUGAUUGCUGUGCCAGUCAAGGAGCUAUAAGAAUGAAGUGAUGUGAGACGACUCAAGCCCAGCUGUGGUAUUGUGAACCUUGUGUAAUUGUGAAAGUGUACUUGCAUUUUAAGAUUUGAAGAGUAUAAGUAGCGACUAAUAAAGGACAUAUUUAAUGAGAUGCCAGAGAUAGCUACUGAACCACUAUCUACGCUGUGCUUCAAUUCGCGAGGACAAAGGGACUGGGAAUGCUGGUUCACUACAAAAGCACUUUCCCUCUCCUGGCAUUGACAUCUUCUCAUCAAUUAUUGGGAGUGAACUACAUCCACCCUGAUUGAAUUGGCCCUGUCAACACUGCAUCUGGUCUUCAGAGCUGAUCAGUUGCUGGUAUGCAUGUGCCCUCAGUGAUAAGUAUACAUUGUGUGGAGGCAUCAGCAUCAAAGGAGUUCAUAUAAGAUGGGGAGGGUCCUCCAAUUCAACCAAUUGUACCCUGCUAUAACAAAUACCACACAGGCAGCUUUCAAACCAUGUUCUGCGGGAACGACCUCUAGGGAUAACUGGAGUUCAGUCUCUAUGGUCCAUUCCAUCACUGGACUCUAUGGCCCAUUCCAUCACUGGACUCUAAUGAUACUACCAGUUAGAGAUAACUGAACAAUUAGUUUUAUGAUAUUGACUCCUGCCUGCAAAAAUACAAAACAAAAACAAAACUACAACACACUUGCCCUGCAAAGUCAUUUCACUUAAGGAGCCAAAGAGGCAUCAAUUGGUAAUUACUUCUAGCCAGUACAGAGCUGAGAUUGAUUCGAACUGCCAAAUGAGAGGUGAAACAGUCAGUUUAGAAGUGAAAGUCUGUCCCUUAUUCCCAAUCCUCUGAGCCAUCUGGCUUCCCAUGUAUUUUUGUAUUGGGGUGGGGGUGUAUAAAUGGGGGUUGGAUUAAUAAAGAGCUGUGGCUCAGGCCCAAGAAGAGAUAAAACGUUAAUAAAAACCUUGUUUACUUCUACAAACAUUACAAAGUUGGGGUUCAACAUUGUGUGAUAUGUUAGCAAUAGCUUACCCCUAUUGUAAGAACCACCAUUUGUAACUUUUUCUUAAACAUGUAGAAAGAAGGGGGU